GAGUUUGAUCCUGGCUCAGAGUGAACGCUGGCGGUAGGCCUAACACAUGCAAGUCGAACGGCAGCACAGUAAGAGCUUGCUCUUACGGGUGGCGAGUGGCGGACGGGUGAGGAAUGCAUCGGAAUCUACUCUGUCGUGGGGGAUAACGUAGGGAAACUUACGCUAAUACCGCAUACGACCUACGGGUGAAAGCAGGGGAUCUUCGGACCUUGCGCGAUUGAAUGAGCCGAUGCCCGAUUAGCUAGUUGGCGGGGUAAGAGCCCACCAAGGCGACGAUCGGUAGCUGGUCUGAGAGGAUGAUCAGCCACACUGGAACUGAGACACGGUCCAGACUCCUACGGGAGGCAGCAGUGGGGAAUAUUGGACAAUGGGCGCAAGCCUGAUCCAGCCAUACCGCGUGGGUGAAGAAGGCCUUCGGGUUGUAAAGCCCUUUUGUUGGGAAAGAAAAGCAUUCGGUUAAUACCCGAUUGUUCUGACGGUACCCAAAGAAUAAGCACCGGCUAACUUCGUGCCAGCAGCCGCGGUAAUACGAAGGGUGCAAGCGUUACUCGGAAUUACUGGGCGUAAAGCGUGCGUAGGUGGUUGUUUAAGUCUGUCGUGAAAGCCCUGUGCUCAACCUGCGAAUUGCGAUGGAGACUGGGCGACUAGAGUGUGGCAGAGGGUAGUGGAAUUCCUGGUGUAGCAGUGAAAUGCGUAGAGAUCAGGAGGAACAUCCGUGGCGAAAGCGACUGCCUGGGCCAACACUGACACU
rnacentral:rRNA from 1 species